AUAGCUCCACUCUCCAAAUCCCUCUCUCUCUCCCACACAACGAUAUUCACAAAUUGAGAGAACCCAAAUUCACUAAAUCCCGCCGCCUCCACCUGUACACCGUGAAUCUUUGAUUUCCAGCCACCACUGCAUCGUGAAUCGCGAGAUUUACCGCUAAUUUCAGGAAUUCUGAUCGCCUACAACAACUAAACGGCAAAACCAGUCCACAAUUUUUGGUGAAAGUAAAUAAGGGGGUGAAGGCCGGAAUUGUUUGCGAAUGUCAUGGAUACUUAAACUUGAAGCAGAAGAAGGAUAUUAUAAAAAUGGCUUCGAUGCCCCACUCAACUUCAAAAUGAACUACAUACCUCGUCAGGAGAAGAAAAAGAAGGGACUGAUAGAUGUGGAGAAGAUGGUCGCGGACUACCACAAACCAUGACCAAUGAAUGAACUCUUGGUGUUUUGAACAUGAAUUCUGAUUUGGUUGAUAUUUUUUUUGGUAGCUACUUGUGCUGAAACAUAGUGGUUUUAUUUUGGCCAAGAAAAUAUUAGUGACGUAAUUUGAAUUGAUUUUUUUUUC